GUAGGUGGCAAGCGUUGUCCGGAAUUAUUGGGCGUAAAGCGCGCGCAGGCGGUUCUUUAAGUCUGAUGUGAAAGCCCACGGCUCAACCGUGGAGGGUCAUUGGAAACUGGGGAACUUGAGUACAGAAGAGGAAAGCGGAAUUCCACGUGUAGCGGUGAAAUGCGUAGAGAUGUGGAGGAACACCAGUGGCGAAGGCGGCUUUCUGGUCUGUAACUGACGCUGAGGCGCGAAAGCGUGGGGAGCAAACAGGGAUUAGAUACCCUGGUAGUCCACGCCGUAAACGAUGAGUGCUAAGUGUUAGGGGGUUUCCGCCCCCUUAGUGCUGCAGCUAACGCAUUAAGCACUCCGCCUGGGGAGUACGCCGCAAGGCUG
rnacentral:rRNA from 1 species